UGUGCACUUGAUUUCAGGAUUCAGUU
rnacentral:piRNA from 1 species